UGAUCGCGUCGGCAUGUGAGUGGUGAUGGAUUUGUAUGCUGUGUUGGGCUCCCUGCUAUUGUGCAGCUGACCAUCGACGCUUCAAGGGCGUCACGGAGGACGUGCU
rnacentral:misc_RNA from 1 species